rnacentral:tRNA from 1 species
GGUUAUGGCUCAGCGGUAGAGUGCUGACCUAGCAUGUACAGGGCCCUGGGUUCAAUCCUCAGCACCA